rnacentral:lncRNA from 1 species
CGCGCAGGCGCAGCCGGGCGGGCGAGGAGCGGGGAAGCUGACUCAGGGCUGCGGCCGGGGUCCUGCGGGGUAGGAGCGCGAGGCCGGCCUGAGGGAGGAGGCCUAGCGACCCAUCCGGCGCCUCCCGCCCCGGGCACCCGCCCGCGGCCGCGCAUCCUGCGGGCCCCAGGAGGCCUCCAUCUCAAAACAACGUGUUUUUAGAGAACUCAAGGGCUGUGAAAAGAGCAGGACCUCACCAGCUGCACGGCGGUGGUGACUGGCUCCAUCUUGCUGUCCCUCCCAAUCACACAACAUCUCCCCUUGAAGGCUCUGCCCAGGCCCGGACUCCCACCUUUCAAGAUGUCUGGAUCAGUGCAGGACCUCCUCCUUGGCCACAUCGCUCUCCUUGGACUGGAAGAGAUGGGGUUUCAUCAUGUUAGCCAGGCUGGUCAGGUGAUCCAUCCGCCUUGGCCUCCCCAAGUGCUGGGAUUACAGGCGUGAGGCACUGUGCCCGGCCUGCCCCCCUUUUCUCUUGAUGUAAGUGGACAUUUUAAUCCAUAAUCUGUAACAUUUAUGUAUUAAGUUUACUACUAUCUUUGGUUUGCAGUGUUGACUCACCUGUGGAGUGGUCUGAGCCUGAAUGCCCGGGGCUGUGGCCACCGAGUGAACGGGCUGUGCUAAGGGGAAUUGCCACCUUGGGAAACCUGUGUAGUUGCGGCUUUUCUGAUUAAGUAUCAAUAAAAGUCUGACCUUGUGAAAAAAGCAAACGUGAGUGGCCCUGCUUAUGUUUCACCUUGCGUUGCUCAGUGAUAGUUCUGCAAAGUCGCAGGAAACCUGGAAUCAUCUAAUUAUCGUGAGUGUUGGCACAUGACAGCCUUCUUGCAAUCAAGAAACUACGUGUGGCCAGGAUCUCAUCCACUAUCACAGUUUCAGCUUUCCCCAAACUGGAAUGUGUCUUUGCAGACGCCCAUCCUUAUUAAAGGGCAAAGACUUCUCAUACACCUAGGAUGGAUCUUAUAUUCUUGGCGGGACUGCAGAGAAGGUGCCGUGUCCUGAGUCCUCAUGUCAGGGCACAGGCUUCCAGCCAGUUCUACCUGGGUUAUGUUUAUCUCAAUUCCCUGGUGGUAUUGGUGUCUGCUGGGUUUUGCCAGAAUGAAGACACCGUGUUUUCAUUUGUCAGUUGAUUCGUAUUUUCCAGGAAGACAUUCUGAGAUUACAGCAUUGUCUUAGUCAAGGUGCUGCAGAAGGACAGAACUAAUAGGAUAUAUGUACAUAUGAAAGAAAGUUUAUGAAGAACUGGCUCACACCAUCACAAGGCAAAGUCCCAUGACAGGCCAUCUGCAAGCUGAGGAGCGAGGAAGCCAGCAGUGGCUCAGCCGGAGUCCAACAGCCUCAAACGGAAUCCAACAGUUCAGGCUUCAGUCUGUGGCCAAAUGCCCAGAGACCCCGGAAAGCUACUGGUGUUAGUCCCAGAGCCGGAAGGCCAAAGAACCUGGAGUGUGAUGUCCAAGGGCAGGAGGAAUGGACAGAAGCAUCCAGCAUGGGGUAAAGACGAAAGCCAGAAGACUCAGCAAGCUAGCUUACCUACUUUCUUCUGCCUGCCUUGUUCUAGCCGCGCUGGCAGCCGGUUGGAGGGUGCCCACCCCCACUGAGGGUGGAUCUUCCUCUCCUAGUCCACUGACUCAAAUUUCAGUCUCUCUGGGAGCACCAUCACACCAGAAACAAUACCAGCCAUCUAGCCACCCUUCAGUUCACCAUCACAACCAUUGUCUUAUUCAUGAAACUUCUGCAGACCCACCUUAACCUCCAUCGGUGACUUCUACCUGAAGCCCUCUGAUUGUUGCCCAGUGGUGCUUUUUAAAAUAAUUUCCAUAGUUUCUUCUACACCUUUAGUUGGCAUUCUACUGUAAAGGAGAGAUUUUAUUUUCUUACUCAUUUAUUUGUUAGUUUAUAGUCACCACCAUAUGGAUGCAGAGUUCUGUCUCAUUCACUGGGAAGUAUUCUAUUGCAGUCAUGAUUUAUUUUGAUGUUCACAUCCCAGAGUUGGUGAGUGAGCGCCCCUUCACGCUGGCUCCCGAGUGCUGACGUGUCCCCGUCCUUCUCUGCACUUUUCCUUACCUCCUGGCCUCAGAUAUUCCAGGGUCAUUUGUUCUCUCCCUGCUCCAACCCUGCAGUCAGCCAUCUCCCUAGGGACGUUGGUUCCUUUAUGGAAGGUGGCAUUUAGAAGCCAGGAUUUGGGCUGAGCACUGUGGCUCAUGCUUGUAAUCCCAGCACUUGGGGAGGCCGAAGUGGGCGGAUCGCUGGAGGCCAAGAGUCUGAGACCAGCCUGGCUAACAUGGUGAAACCCUUCCCCGUCUCUACUACAAAUAAAAAAUUAGCUGGGUGUGUUGGCACGUGCCUGUAAUCCCAGUUACUCAGGAGGCUGAAGCACCAGAAUCUCUUGAACCCAGGAGGCCGAGGUUGCAGUGAGCCAAGAUUGCACCACUGCACUACAGCUUGGGUGACAGCGCGAGACACCGUCUCAAAAAGGAUAAUAAUUUAAAAAACAGCAGGAUUUGGGUGAGCAGUGCGCUCAUUGCUUCUGGGCUCUCUCGGUGGACAUAGGCUAGGAAUGUAAGAUGUAUGUGCCUGUGUAUAUACACACGUCUGUAGCUAUGUCUAUGUUGCAUACAUGUGUUUUUCCAAAAACCAAAUCCAUAACCAU